rnacentral:rRNA from 1 species
UGUGAGAUGCAGUGUAUGGAAUGUCAAAUUUCUAAUAUGAGAAAUUAACGAUUUAAGUCCUUCUUAAAUGAGGCCAUUUACCCAAAGAGGGUGCCAGGCCCGUAUAACGUUAAUGAUUAUUAGAUGGCAUUUCCAAAGAGUCGUGUUGCUUGAUAGUGCAGCACUAAGUGGGUGGUAAACUCCAUCUAAAACUAAAUAUAACCAUGAGACCGAUAGUAAACAAGUACCGUGAGGGAAAGU